rnacentral:rRNA from 1 species
GACAGAGGGUGCGAACGUUGUUCGGAAUUACUGGGCGUAAAGCGCAUGUAGGCGGCAGCGCAAGUCGGGCGUGAAAUCCCACGGCUCAACCGUGGAAGUGCACUCGAAACUGCGCAGCUAGAGUCCUGGAGAGGAAGGUGGAAUGCUUGGUGUAGAGGUGAAAUUCGUAGAUAUCAAGCGGAACACCGGUGGCGAAGGCGGCCUUCUGGACAGUGACUGACGCUGAGGCACGAAGGUCAGGGGAGCAAACGGG